UCGCCUGUUUAUCAAAAACAUGUCUUCUUGAUUAUAAUUUGAAGUCUGACCUGCCCACUGAAGUAAAAUUUAAAGGGCCGCGGUAUUUUGACCGUGCAAAGGUAGCAUAAUCAUUAGUCUUUUAAUUGAAGGCUAGAAUGAAUGGUUGGACGAGGUAUUAGCUGUCUCAGGACAAAUGAAAAUUAGAAUUUAACUUUUAAGUCAAAAGGCUUAAAUUAAAUUAAAGGACGAGAAGACCCUAUAGAGCUUUAUACUAAUUGAUUGGCUAAAAUUUGGUGACAUUAUUUAGUUAUUCAUUAAAGUAUUUUGUUGGGGUGACAGGAAGAUAAUAAAAACUCUUUUUAAUUAAAAACAUUGAUAUAUGAAUAUUUGAUCCAUCAAUGAUGAUUAUAAGACUAAGUUACCUUAGGGAUAACAGCGUAAUCCUUUUCGAGAGUUCUUAUCGACAAAGGGGGUUGCGACCUCGAUGUUGGAUUAAGGGUAAUUUUGGGUGUAGAUGUUCAAAGUUUAGGUCUGUUCGACCUUUAAAUCCUUACAUGAUCUGAGUUCAAACCGGAGA
rnacentral:rRNA from 1 species